rnacentral:rRNA from 1 species
UACGGGGGGGGCAAGCGUUGUUCGGAAUUACUGGCGUAAAGGGCUCGUAGGCGCCAACUAAGUCAGACGUGAAAAUCCCUCGGCUUAAACCGGGGAACUGCGUCUGAUACUGGAUGGCUUGAGUUUGGGAGAGGGAUGCGGGAAAUUCCAGGUGUAGCGGUGAAAUGGCGUAGAUAUCUGGAGGAACACCGGGUGGGCGAAAGGCGG